CCUACGGGAGGCAGCAGUGGGGAAUAUUGGGCAAUGGGCGCAAGCCUGACGCAGCAACGCCGCGUGAAUGAAGAAGGCUUUCGGGUUGUAAACUUCUUUUGUCAGGGAAGAGUAGAAGACGGUACCUGACGAAUAAGCCACGGCUAACUACGUUCCAGCAGCCGCGGUAAUACGUAGGUGGCAAGCGUUGUCCGGAUUUACUGGGUGUAAAGGGCGUGUAGCCGGGUUGACAAGUCAGAUGUGAAAUCCUGCGGCUUAACCGGAGAACUGCAUUUGAAACUGUUGAUCUUGAGUACUGGAGAGGAAGAUGGAAUUCGUAGUGUAGCGGUGAAAUGCGUAGAUAUUAGGAGGAACACCAGUGGCGAAGGCGGUCUGCUGGACUGCAACUGACGGUGAGGCGCGAAAGCGUGGGGAGCAAACAGGAUUAGAUACCCUAGUAGUC
rnacentral:rRNA from 1 species